rnacentral:lncRNA from 1 species
GGGGUCAUAUCAGAAAGAUAUGUUUGAUGAAAUUAACUACAGAAUCAAGAAGUAUAUACUCAAAAAUGCAAAUACUACAAUAUAUAAGACAAUGCUGGAGUGCAAUGGUGCAAUCUUGGCUCACUGCAACCUCCGCCUCCUGGGUUCAAAUGAUUCUCCUGCCUCAGCCUCCCAAGUAGCUGGGACUACAGACCGCAACCAAUUGCUCUUCCUUCCCAUUGAAAGAAACCCAGGCUGUACCUGCUCUUUCAUCUCCUGUGUGGAAAACAUCUAUCGGCUGGAAGCCCUGAGUCUUCAUUUUCAAGGAUUUUAGUUGUAAGCUGUUUAAGGCAUAAGCUAAAGUUUCAGGCAGAGGUAAUUUUAGUAGUUAAGCCUGAUUUUUACUUCCACCCUCUGUCCUCCAGGGCUAUAUGGGAAGCUUUCUGUGAGUGGAUAAGCUCUUUAGCUAAGAUGUAAACAUGUUCCCUGCUAUCUGAUAAAGGUUCCUGGAGACUGACACUUUAAAAAAAAAAAAAAAAAGAAAGUGAGGAAAAAAAGAAAAGGAGAAACUGAAUCCAAGGCUUACAAAGGGAUUAGAAAACUGUACCCCAGAUGGAAAAUUUUAUGGGCUCUGGAGAAAAUGUGUAAGUGAAAUAUCGGUAUCAUAAAAUAACAGGAAAUAGUGUAAUCUACCUGAUGGAGAAAAUUGUCACUUUAAAAAAACUAUCCUAAUUUCCUUCAAAAUUGUUCUUGUUUUUGAGCCAAUAAACUUCAGCUAAGCUCAAAAAAAAAAAAAAAA